GGGGCUGUGGCUCAGUGUCAGAGCACUUGCCUCUUACACAUGAGGCACUGGGUUCGAUCCUCAGCACCA
rnacentral:tRNA from 1 species